CACGUAACGGUUCAACCUAGUCUGGACCAGCAGAGCGAACGCGAAGGAGCGUACCAACGCGAUUUAAGGGAAGCAAGGGUGACCAGUUCGUAUACGAGUUUCGGCUGAGUUAAUGGUUUUUCAACGAGCAGGAGACACGCGAGUGAAAGCGCCUCGUGAAAGAUAAUUCGACAGCCGUGAAAGCACGUGCACGCAUCGUUAAGGAACCCGAUUGUACACGCCUGUAAGUACCUGUAAUUGAAGAGGAGGAGGAGGAGGAGAAGGAUAUACACGAGGAACAUUUGACAAGCUAAUUCCUCGCGUUUACGUACGAUCGUUCGCGAUGAUCAUUGGGACACGCGACAUCGUGUCCAUGGGAAAAGACGAUACGUCAUAAAAACGAAUCGAUUCUCAAGCACGUACGUACGAAGCUGAUACGUGCGGACAAGGAAACAAGGUUGGUCGAACUGGUGAUCAAAUGAUUGGAGGGCGUUAAAUGGUUUCUACGACUGUUAUGUGUGUGUUUCGUUUGUUCGUUUAGAAUGUUUUACUUGAAACAAAUCAGAAACAAGCUUUCCACGUGACAACACGCUUGACAAGGUAAGGAUAGCUAGCUUCGAAAGUAUAAACAUCUUGCAAGUAUAAUUUUCAAGGUUUAGAUUAGUAGUCAUAAGUAAAGAGAUGUAGCAAAUAUAUUAAUUUAAUAUGAUAUCUGCUGUUUUACAUAUAUUUUUAAAAGCAUUUACAUUCCAUGGGAAUCUAAAAUAAAUGUUGCUAGAGUUUUAAAUCAUUACUCAAUAGUACAUUCAUCGAAAUAAUUAUUUAUAAACAAAUCAGAGACCUUUCUACUAGCGCCCUCAUAAGUCGGUAAGAAAAGUUGAAAGACAUAUUUAUUUCAAAAAAUUGCACAUGACACAGUGUACAGAAUACACUUAAAAAUGCUUGAUAUCGAAUUUUAUUAUAAACAUUUUUAAUUGCAUUAAAAUUACUUGUUGCAUGUUUUUAAUUGACUUUUUUAUAAGAGUAAUCUCGGAUUUAUAUGCGUUUGAUAACAAGUUUAUCUGAAAGCCAAAUCUAAAGCCAUUACAAUUAAUACAUGAAAAUAAUUGUUUUUAAUAUAUUAUAGAUAAGAGGUGCAAUCAGAGGUGUUUCUAUAACUUAUCAUUGACCUUAUGACUGGAAUAUUGUGAAAGCAGAUCUCUGCAAAACAUUAUUGACUACAGAGAAAUAAGCUGACCUUCCUCUUUAUUAUUCCUGAUAUUUUAAGAGUUAAAUGUUAAAUUAAGUUAAUUUUUUUUUUUUUGUAUAAUUUCUUUUAUAAAAACUAACUAAAGAUUUCUUUCUCUUUAUCUCUCUUUCUUUAGAAAAUAAAUAUCUGGGCUGUAAAGUAUAAUGAAAGACUAUUCUAGAAGAUAUGAAUAUGCCUGAGGAUGAGUAUAUAGAGAAAACAUUUAUAUAUAAAUUUCCAACAUGUACUACAAACCAAGAAUAUGUAUUGGAAGUUCCAUUAAAGAUACCUUAUCGUGGAAAUGUCAAGGAACUUAUGCACCGUAUAAUGUCAUCUUUUAAAUUGCCAUGCUAUGUGGAAUUAGACCUAUUGAAAUCAUUGGAGCAUACUAUUAAAACAUUAACAUUAGAAUUUUAUGAUGAGAAAGCAGAAAAAGCUCUUGAAAAUGCAAAAUCUGGGACCUUAGAUAUUGAAGAUAUUAUUAAAAACUGGGAAAAAAUCUAUAAGCAGAAAACAGUAGAAUAUGCUGAUCCUAUUGGAACAACGGACGAAGAAUUGUUUGCUGUUGCAUAUCAUAGAUUGGUACACUCUCCAUCAUUAGAGCCUAUCCUUCAAGCGGAACAUAAACAUGGAAGAGAAGUAACUGAAGUUAUUCAGAUGAGGGACUCCCAGUAUGAACAACUUACUCAAAAGCAAACUGAGGAGAUGCGAGUCGCUGUAGAAGCUCUCGAAGCUGGUUCUACCGAAAAAUCUAUAAACGAGAUGGCGGGACGACAUUUUGAGGAACAAAGUUUAUUGCAAGGUCACUGGGGGUCAAGAGUUGAUGCACUGAAAUUAGAACAAAGGCGACAAUAUCGUAACUGGAUCAUGAGGUUACUCGAAGAGCAGCAGACUAACAUGUUGCCGAGUCCAGUGGGUUCUCCAAUUUUGACGAUGCCACCGAUACGACCGGCGUUAGACAAUUUUGUUCAUAGCGAAGAGAAGAACACAGCUGAAUAUCCUAUCUUGGAAGAAAGUUUCACUAUACAUUUGGGUUCCCAGAUGAAACAGAUGCACAAUAUACGUAUACUGACAGGCGAUGUUUUAGAUUUUUGUAGAACAAAAAAGAGCGAGUCUGGAAUGGAUCCAACGCCUCAAAGACUACAGACUGCUCUUGGAUUAUAUUCUAAUGAUUUGUGUGGAUUAGUAUUAUUGAGCGACAAUCAUUUAGGAAGUUAUUCGGGAAUAACGAAAGAAUUAUGUUCAAUAUGUCAAUUAACGACAGAGUUUCACUUCCCACCAAUCGAUGAACAACUAGAAAAAAUUCGAGAGGAUGUGAAAGAUGCUGUUGCCUGGAGGCAAGCGCAUCACAAAGAAGGAAACGAUUCACAAACAAAAAGAUCAACGGGCAGCAAAAGUUUACAGACAGGCGAUGUUUAUAUUACGAGGCAUUCAAAUUUAGCGCAAGUUCAUGUAAUUUUCCACAUGGUAGUGAACGAUUCAUUGCGAUCUGUUUUACUUAAUUUACAGGCGAUAUCAAUUCGAGGCACCCGGCCAUUUUAGGAUUACGAAAUAUUUUAAAAACUGCUUGUUGCAACGAUGUAACCACACUAACUAUUCCAAUACUUCUUGUUCAUGAAAUGUCGGAGGAUAUGACUGUUGCGUGGUGUACAAAGAGAGCAGAAUUAGUUUUCAAAUGUGUAAAAGGGUUCAUGAUAGAAAUGGCAUCUUGGGGUGGUGCUGAAUUGAAGAAUCUGCAAUUUCUGGUACCAAAG